rnacentral:tRNA from 2 species
GGUGGUGUGGCCGAAUGGUGAGGCAACGGUCUGCAAAACCGUCCACACGGGUUCGAUUCCCGUCGCCACCUCCA